GAUGAAGAACGCAGCGAAAUGCGAUACGUAAUGUGAAUUGCAGAAUUCAGUGAAUCAUCGAGUCUUUGAACGCACAUUGCGCCCCCUGGUAUUCCGGGGGGCAUGCCUGUCCGAGCGUCAUUGCUGCCCUCAAGCACGGCUUGUGUGUUGGGCCUCCGUCCUCCUCCCGGGGGACGGGCCUGAAAGGCAGCGGCGGCACCGCGUCCGGUCCUCGAGCGUAUGGGGCUUCGUCACCCGCUCUUGUAGGCCCGGCCGGCGCUUGCCGACACAUCAAUCUUUUUUCCAGGUUGACCUCGGAUCAGGUAGGGAUACCCGCUGAACUUAAGCAUAUCAAUAAGCGGAGA
rnacentral:misc_RNA from 1 species